rnacentral:rRNA from 1 species
AUUGAACGCUGGCGGCAUGCCUUACACAUGCAAGUCGAACGGCAGCACGGGAGCAAUCCUGGUGGCGAGUGGCGAACGGGUGAGUAAAGUAUCGGAACGUGCCCAGUCGUGGGGGAUAACGUAGCGAACGUUAUGCUAAUACCCAAUACGAUCCAUGGACGAAAGACGGGGAUCGCAAGACCUCGCCCGAUUGGAGCGGCCGAUAUCAGAUGAGGGAGUUGGUGGGGUAAAGGCUCACCAAGCCGACGAUCUGUAGCUGGUCUGAGAGGACGACAGCCACACUGGGACGGAGACACGGCCCAGACUCCUACGGGAGGCAGCAGUGGGGAAUUUUGGACAAUGGGCGAAAGCCUGAUCCAGCCAUGCCGCGUGCAGGAUGAAGGCCUUCGGGUUGUAAACUGCUUUUGUACGGAACGAAAAGGUUUGGCCUAAUAAGCUGAGCUCAUGACGGUACCGUAAGAAUAAGCACCGGCUAACUACGUGCCAGCCGCCGCGGUAA